UUGUGAAAAGAAAGAAAAACCCUUAUUCCCUGUUUCAAUUGAAAUCAAACUCCCGUCUUUCUCUCAUCUUCAUAGGCCGCAUCAAUAGAAGAUGAAUGGUGGAAAUUGUGUGGAUCUAGUGCUCCAACUUUGCAAAAGAUAGCUAUUCGAAUACUUGGUCAAACAGCUUCUUCUUCGGGAUGUGAAAGGAAUUGGAGUGUCUUUGAACGUAUUCACACACAAAAAAAAAGAAAUAGAUUGGAGCAUCAAAGACUCAACGAUCUUGUCUAUGUUACGUAUAAUUUGCGAUUGAAGAAUAGGCGUUAUUAUAAGAAGAGGUCUUAUGAUCCAGUUGAUUAUGAGUGUAUUGACAAGACAAACUUUUGGAUAGAGGAAGAAGUGCCACCACAGGAUUUCGAGUACGAAGACUUGGAUAAUGCUAUUUAUGAAGAAAAUGCAAUUUCCAGUGUUAAUGAUCAAGAAAUUGAUGAUAAUGUUCAAGAUGACAAUGAAAAUAAGGAUGAAAUUAAUACUCAAGAGAUGGGAGAUUUAGAUACAAUGGAUGUUAUUCAUCGUUUUUGUGGUUCAUGUGAACGUGGAAGUGAUCAAGGAUUGAGGCUUAUAGAUGAAAAUGAUAAAGGAGAAAUUUAACUAUUUAAUAUUUUAUGUUUAGUGCACUUUUUUGCUCCAAUUAUUACAU